AGAUAACCUCUAAAAGAUACAAAUAUUUAAUAGUAAAAUUUCGAAACAGUUGACUUAGUAUAAAUAUGAUAUUAGACUUGUCGACUUGGCAAGAAAUAGAAAAGAAUAUUUUGGAUCCAAAGUUUAGUUGGCUUGGUUAAAAAAAUCAUUACAAAUAAAAAAAUUAAUUUGUGCUAUAUAAUUUAUUUAUAUGUACUAUGUAGAGAUUAAAUACAAGGUUCUAAUACAUGUCAUAUUUAUAUUAGUUAAAAUAUAUUUUGGUCAAUAAAGUUCAGUUUCUAGGUAGGAUGACGCGGCCUUUAACCGCGUUGACAAAUAUCAAAGGACACAUGCCACGUCAAUUUUUAACUUGUGACGGAAUAAAAAUAGGAAGCAAACCAAUUUAUUAAUUGUGAAGGGCAAUAUGGGAAGAAAUUGUUCCGGUUAGGGACGCGGAGUUUGCUUGAUGACACUUGACAGGGUGGUUCUAUAUACACCCCCCCUAUUGCUCACGACACCCCCCAAAAAUUUAAA
rnacentral:lncRNA from 1 species